CAAAAAAAAAAAAAAAAGGAACAAAAGAAAAGAAAAAGAAAAAGAAAGCUGAGGUGCUAAACAACUAGUGUGACAGGACUAGUUCCAAUUAUUCCAAUGCAUACUGUCUCCUGAGUCUAUAAUCAUAACUAAACUAUUUCAGGCAGAGAGAAAAAGGGAAUAUAGUGGCAAGAAAGCAAAUCACAUAGCAAGAGAGUGACAGAGGGUAAAUCACUACAUCAACAGAGAGUGAUGUAGCAAAGGGAGGAAGGGCUGGGAAAACUGCAUGAGGGCGGAUUACAGAAAGCUCUGAAUGCCAUUCUUGGUAGGAUAAGAUGUGAGAACUGAACCCCAACUGAGAAGGUGCCAAUUAAUUCAGGUGGCACUGACCUGUGAGGCUGAGGAGGUCUUAAUCACCAGAACACUAAAUGCUCAUUAUCCAACCUUUUAAUUAGCAAAGAAACUACCCCAUCUGGAAAAGUUUUCAGCAAAGAACCAAGAUUUGAUCAUGCUGUUAAGGAAAAAAAAAAAAAAAGAAAGAAAAGAAAAGAAAAGAAAUAAACAAUCCUCUGAUCUCUCCCAGGCAACAAAUCUUGUAUUUCAGAUGUAUGUUUUCUUAUCUUCCAGGUCCCCAUUGGAGAGAAAAUGAGGAAAAGGAAGAACAGAUGGGAAUAAAAGCAGAAGGUACCUGAUGAAAGCAAAAAAGUAAGGCUGGGGGAAGGGUGUUUAGAGAAGGACUGGGAGAACAAAAGCAAAGAAUUCUGAAAUGUAAGGUUAUUUCCUCUGCUGAACUAUACACACAAAGUGGUUCUAUUUACUGCUUUGCAAUAUUGAAUGACUCUAGCAAGUACUGGUGGCAAUCGGUGCCUAGGAAUAAUCACAUGGAUCUCUCAGCAGAAAGGUGACUUUACAGAACCAGGUCACUAAAAAGGGCCUGGGGCAUGUAUAUCACCAUGUAGGUAUGAAAAUGCAGGGCAGAGUCAAGCUAUGCCAACAUCUUCAAUUCAUACAUGUGAAAAAUGAAACCCAAGAAGGUCAACAGAAGGGGCACUGGCCUGGGAAUCAGAAAGAUAGUCUUUUCCCUGAAGGAGGAUAAAUGAUUUUUCCCAAGGUGACAAGAUAAGUAGUAGAGUGCCUACAUUUUGUUUCUUGCCUCUUAGGAGAGCAUGUUUUCUUCUGUUCCCAUGAACUUCAGAAUGAGCCACAUCUUUACGCAAAGCCUCCUCUGCCACUUUUAUGUGUGACCUUAGGAAUUGGCUAACUGUAUUGUUCUAUUUAUGCCAUCUUUGUACCUAAAUACUAUGAUUAACUUGAAGUGUGGUUUCCAAAAACUUCUUAUGAAGAAACAGAUAAAUAUGGAACGAUGUAUGCAGAAAGAUGUUUACUGCAGCAAUGCCUAAGAUAAAGACUCAAAACAAUAUAAACAUCCAUCAGGAGACGACUGCUUAAGUAUAUUACAGUAACACACUGAACUAUCAUCCAGCCAAUAAACAGAAGAGAAAUAGGAGUGGCUGGUUAUGAAAACUGGCAGCUUCCCUCCCUGUGGUAUCUUCCCAGAUAAGAAAGCAGGCCUGAAUCUCGGGUGCUGUUCUUCCAGACCACAUGAAAGGUACUGUCUCAGGCUCCUCAUCUGGAACUUUUAUGCUUUACAAAGAUGAUAAUAGUCCCUCAAAACCACCUACAAUGCUGAAUUCAAUAGCAUUCAAAGUGUACUAGGAGAAAAUUACAGUCAAGUUAGUCAAAAAAUCUCUUCAUCUGGUAACUUUUAGGAAACCACUUAAUUUCUCCAACUCAGUCAUCUUUGCCAUACAAUGGGAAUAAUAAAACCUAUCUUGACUACUCCAGAAAUUAGUAUUGAGAAGCAAAUGAGGUAAGAGACAUGAGGAAGAUUUAGAAAUUAUAAAAUUCAACAUAAAUACAAAUUAAUAAGGUACAUCUGUCACCUGAUCUUUAUAACAUGACAAUUGUCCAAAUAAAAUGGAGUCGCUAAAGUUUUUUGUUGUUGUUGUUUGUUUGUUCUUUAAAAAAAAAAAACCUGACAAAUAGAGCCAGAGAAGUCCAUGAGGAGAGGGUUCUCAUGUUUGUAUACCUGAUAAGAAACACUAUCACAGUGAAUGCAAAAAACACAACCUUGUACAAAGACCUUUACAAACUUACACAAAAGAAUACUUCUGCAAGGACAUCUGCCCAGCAAUUGCCUGUCCAAACUUAGACUGGUGUCACUCUUCUUAUUUAGCUUUGUAACCAAGGAUAAUUAUUUCAAAACAAUUUUGUAAUUCUCUUCAUUGUUUCCUUUAAAAACCUUUUCUUUCUUUUACCUCCCUGAGUACUUACACGGGCACAGCAUUCUCAUUGCAGUGCAUUGUCAUGCACUAUUCCCAAAUAAGUAUUUUUUUUUUCUUUUAGAAAGCCUCUCUCUGUUUGUUAUUUAGGCUGACAAUAACAACCCCAGGAAAUGGGUAAGUUAUUAUCCCUAUUUUAUUGAUGGGCUGGGGGGAGAAACAGAAAAGGAUCAGGCUAUUUGCUUAAAGUCCCUCAGCAAGUUGGCUCCCAAGGCAAGUUCAGUGCCCUUGCAUCCCAUCACCUCCUAGACCCUCCAUCAGUGCUGGUUAUUCUCUCUGCUGUUUCCCCAAAAUCAUUCACUGCCCUUCUCCACAUCACAAGAGCUGCUGUCUCCUCUGCCUUCAGGUUGGAUUGGUUAAUAGAAAGACCAAAAGGUGGCAGGAGAGUGGAGUUGGGCAUUCGUUCCCUGGCUCUCCCCCUGCCUCAGCACUGUGGCUCUGACAAUGACUGGAUCCUUCUACAACUUCAACUCUUAUCUAGUGCCUCCUUCCACAGUGGUAGGUCAUGUCACCCCAUGAACACUGGGUCCCCAUGCUCACCCCGUGCUCUUCAGGCCUGGGCAGUACAACAACUUCCUGCUAUUGCUAAAACCUGGCACCUCAUCCUCUCUUCCUAGGUGCCUCAGCCCUGCCCACACAUCUCUAAAUUGUACCUUUAAAUUGUACAUCUUUAAAUUGUACCUUUAUUCAAUUAUCUGUAAAAUUCCAAUGGAGCAUGUCUUCUAUUUCUGCUGAGAAAACUGAGAAACUCCUCCUUUUCAAACUAUUUGUUCACAGGCUGCUGAAAACUUUUACCACCUGUCCCCAGUUCCUCUCUCAGCCCUCUCCUCACGUUACCCAGACUCCCUUCACAGGAAGCCAUAAGCCACCCCGCUUCCUCUCCAGGCACGAAUUUACCAUGGGUCUGAACCUGCCCUUUGCCAGUUCUUCUCUAUUAAUUUAAAAGACGCUAAGCCCUCUCCCUAGCUCCUAUUUCCCUAUCCUCUCUUCUUCGUCUGUCUCACACUUUAUUUCUCCACAGGAAAUAAUUUGAACUAUCGAUCUGUCUGCUGUAUAAUUUGGAUUGAGAAACAGAGCAUUAAAAUACUCUUUGAAUACCUUCAGGGAAACAUACUCUAUUCAAACUAUGUUUCUUUCAACUCUAAAUUUGUAAACUGUUCUUUUUUAAAAGGUAGUUCUGCCUAAAAGGGAUAAAAAAUUGACUGCCCUAUCAAUUUUGCCCUCAAGGUUAUACCAACUAUUUCUACACUGGCAAUACAAUCAAGUGCAUUUCUUUCAGACUAGAUCACAAUUGUUACUAAGCACAUGGGCUGCUAACUGUCUCCAAGGCUGCAAUAAUUCAGUGGCCCAACACUCUUUUUCAUCAUCAAAAUUUAUAGCAGAAAGAGGCACAAUAGUCAUUUUGGCCUCUAGGGUGCCUUCUCACUAAAGACCACGAGCUCAGUGGUUACACAUAACCUAUAAUACUAGUUUUGUCUUCCCAGGGUGUGAUUGGAGAAAAGAAGAGAAAUAAAAAUGCCCUUGCCUUCUUAUGUUAGAAUGAGUAACAAAAAACACCCAAGAGCUGACAUUUAGUUUAGGAUUUCUGAGACCCUUCCUCCUUUCCUUGCUGUGAAAAAUAAUGAUCUGUUGUUCUCUGAUUGUCAUUCAAACCAUGGGCCCAAGAAGCCAGCAUCUCUCUCCUCACUGGCCUCUUGUUCUCUAAAUGUACUGCCCAUCACCAAAAGGGAAAAAGGACUUCCUGUGACACUUUCCAAACCACAUUAGUUAUGAAGUGCUGACAAUGAUUACUAACAAAUUGAAACGGUUGCCCAAAAUGAUGACUGUACAAGCCUACAAAAUUGGUAUUUUUACUGCAUUAAAAGGGUAUGAGUAUGAGGCUUCAUAAGUAAUUUUAUGGCAUUUUGGCUACUGAUCACAGGUACAAAUUAUCCAUGCUCAAUUAAAGAAAGAUGAAAGUUCAGCUUUCUAUAAUUAAACCAAUAACUUGUUCGGCCUCGGGCUGGAAAUAAACGUUAAGGAUUUGUGUCUCGUAAUCUUGCACGAAGAAUUAAAGAAGCAAACUCUACUAUCACUGACUUACUUAAAAUCAAGGCCUUAUCCAUAUUGGAAAUUAUUCAUGAUGAGACUCUUAGACCAGGAAAAAAAUAAGUCAUUCUCACACUCUUUUGGCUGCCUAGCAGGUAAUAACUUUCUUCACUAUUCUGUUUGGAAUAUUGCAUCAUUUAGAUCAUUCUUGGUAAGUCAAUCCAGACAUUUUCUUUAGAUUCUGCUGAGAAUAUUAUAUGAAAUUUACAGACUUGAAAAAAUACUAAAAGGGAUAUUUUAGAAUGAUAAAUAAAGUUUAACAACCAGCUCUGCAACUUCCUACUCUCUGCUUCUAUUUCCUUACCUAUAAAAUGGGCUAUGAUGAUUAGUUUUAUUUGUCAGUUUAGAGAGGCUGCAGUCCUCAUUUAUUCAGCCAAACACUAAUCAAGGUGUUCCUGCAAAGGUGUUUUGUAGAUGUGAUUAUAGUCCACAGUCAGUUAAUUUUAAGUGCAGGAGACUAUCCUAGGUAAUCUGGGUGGGUCUAGUUCAAUACACUGAAAGUCCUUAAGAGCAGAACUGAGGCUUCCCUGAAGAAGAAGUUCUGCCUGUGCCUUCAGAUCAUGCCAAGGAGCUCCAACCUCCCCAUCCUAACAGCAUGCCUUACAGAUUUUGAAAUUACCCAGCAGACCCUGGUUGUGUAAACCAAUUCCUUCUGAUAAUUCUAUGUCCAUCCAUCUAUCCCCAUCCAUUCAUCCAUCUUACUGCUUCUGUUUCUCUGGUUAUAUCUUGACUGAUACAUGAGGAUAAUAAUGCAUAUUCUGCAGCAGUGCUAUAAGAAUAAAAUGAGACUGUAUACAUAAAAAUUAUUUUAACACAAAAUAAAUGUAAGGAUAUGUACAUAGAAUUACUAUUUGAUAUGACUAACUCAAGUCCAGCUAACAACUCCAUAUAAUCACUGCUCUUUCCUAACUGGCCUUUGAUUUUGUUUUCCAGAUUCUGCACAUCUGUUACAUUCUAAGGCUGCCUCAAACACUACCAAACCCAGCUUUACAGUUUGGAAGACAGAGAAUCAUACCCAAAGCCACAAACAUCCAAAUGUGGUGCUCCUCACAAGAAACUGAUAAUGAACUUGAGACAGAGUCUACAAGGAUAGGUAUCAGAAGACCAGUCUAAAGUAUAUAAGGUCUAUGUUCAAACAGGAGCCUGGACAUGACUGAGAUAAAGAAAGAGUCCAGAGCUGGGCACACUGACUCAUGCCUAUAAUCCCAGUGACUCAGGAGGCUGAGGCAAGAGGAUUGCUUGAGGCCAAGAGUCUGAGGCUGCAGUGAGCUAAGAUCACACCACUACUGUCCAGCCUGGGGGACAGAGCGAGAGCUUGUCUCUUAAAAAAGAAGAAGAAAAAAAAAAAAGAUUGAGUCCAGUGUUAGAGCUCCAGUAUAAAAAGAAGUUAACUGAACUCAGGGGGAGAAAGGAGGGGAACCUACUCCAAAUUUUAGCUCAGGUCUUACCUGAAUGUGGGCUAGCUCAGCUCCCAAGGGGCUAAGUGAGGUCAUGACUGAGAAGAAAGGACCCCCAGCCCAAGUUGUGAGUCGAAUGACUCUUAGGUUGAGAAGCUUUCAUACCUAAGAAUCAAGUGGCCAGUGGUGCACUGUGGGAGAGAUAAUCACCAAACUAUUUUCUUCUCUUUCAGGUCACACACCUAGAUUACCUGCCCCAGUCUCCCUUGCAGUUAGAUCUGGCUGUGAGGUUGAGUUUCAGCCAGUGGGAUAAAGAUGGAAGUUUCCAUUGGCCUAACCCAUAAAUUCCUCUCCACAACUCUUCCCACUUUUAAUCUUAUGCCCCCAUGUCGUCUCUUCUCCCAGCCUUCUUCGUCUCAGUAAAUGUCACUAGCACAUAUCCAAUCAAUCAAGGGAAAAUACAAUUCAAGGAAAAAAUACAUCCUCAACUACUCAUUCCCUUUACCUUACUCUUUCCCAGCAUCCUGCAAAAUCUGGCUCCAAAUAUAGUUCCAGUUUGUCCACUUCUCUCCCUCUUCUCCAGUCUAUUACCUUGGUUUACUCCAACACCAUCUCUCAAUUAGACUAUUGAAAUAAAAUCCUACCUGGAAUUUAAACUCUUAACUGUCUCUCUGUUUCUAUUCUUAUCCUCCAACAGCCUAUUCUGUAUACCAUGGCAGAAUGAUCUUUCAAAUCAUGUCACUCCACUGCUUGAAACUUUCCAGGAGGCUUCUCUUCCUUUGAAAUUAAAUAAAAUUUGAACCCUGAACGUGACCUAAACCCUACACAUUUUGCCUCACUGACCUCUGUCACUGCAUCUCAUACCACUAUCACCCUAGCUCACUGGGAUUCAUGCCACACCAAGCUUCAAACACACCAAGUGUAUUCCUGCCUUACGAAUUUUGAACUUGCUAUUCCUUUCCACUCCUGGAACACUCCUGCCCCAGAUCUUUGCUGGUGCCUUUCUAUAUUUCAAGUCUCAGUUUAAAUAUCACCUCUUCCAAGAAAAAUCCUCUGACUACCAUAUAUCAAAUAUCUCCCACGCUCAUUAUUCUUUGUCAUUGUACUCUGUUUUACUUUUGGAAUUAUUUGUUUUCUUGCGUGUUGUCAAUCUCCCUCACUGAAUCUUUAGCUUCAUAAGAGCAAGGACCUUACCCAACUUCUUUAUUUUUCUGCUGUAUCCCCAACGGCACAAUCUUGGUCAUCUCAUUCCCCUUUCUAAUCCUUAUUUUCUCCAUUUUUAAGAUGAUGACUUGGGAUUCAGUGCUUACAGGAGACUGGCUCUGACAUUCUUUGCAUCCACAGUUCCAAGGAGGCUUUAGAGCUUAAUACUUUCCAGCCAGUGACAUUUCUAAAUGCAUUUUCCAAAUGAAGUCAAUGCCCUCAGGCAGCCCAGUGGGGAGGUCAUGGAGAGCCAGUGAGAAGGAAGUCUGGUGAGUUGGAUUACAUAGCUCCUUUGCUACACCAUUCCAGCCAUACUGAGGAGAUGCACCUCAUUAGGUACUAAAUGUUGAGUGACUGUCACUAUUAAUUGGUGGGGAUUAAUACUCAAAGGAGACAAUAAAUCUCAUGCUGUACUCAAUGACAUCAGCCCCUUACAGUCAAACAAUGCAUUGGGAGUUUGAAUCUAAAGCACUGCAAAAAAAGAACCCAGAGACUAUCCCUUCUCUGCUUAUAAGAGUAAACAUUGGUUGCCAAUUAUAUUGAGCAUCUCCUUAGUUACCAGGAUCUGUAUUAAAUAUCUUACAUGCUUUUAUCAUUUGAUCUUUACUUUGAUCCUAUGGCAUAGUUCCAAUAUUAUCCUCAUUUUAUGGAUGGGGAAACUUCCAAAUUAAGAGAAGAAGCACCUUGCCCAAGGUCACAGAGCUAAUAAUGAUGGAUCCUUUGAUUGGGGUCUGUUUUAUUCAGAAGCCCAUGACCUUAGCUACUAAGUAAUAUUCCAUUUCCUAUAAUUAUCAUCUCAUCAUAUGAUGACAAUUUUUUUUAUUCAAACCUUUUCCAUUCUUCAAGUCUGGGCUCAAAUGCUACUUUUUUUCACAAAGCUUUCUCUAACCCCCAGACAGAUCCAUAUUCACCAUCACCUUUCUCUGCAUUGGUCAUAUAGAGUCAAUCACAUAGGGGAAGGAGACUCAGUAACUAACAUUUAAUAGCAUAUACAGUAUGCAGGUACUGUCACAGUCAAAAGCUUAUGUUAGUCUUACAACUACCCUGAGAAAAAAACUUUCAUAUCUGUUUUGAAAGGUAAAAUGCCUUGAGCAGAGUCUUAUGGCUCAAAGUGGCAGAACCAGAAUUUAAACCCAGGUCUGCUUGAUUGUGGAGCCCAGGGCAUUUCCACAAACUUACUAUGAGCUCUUCAUUAUGCCCUUGGACUAAAUAAUUCCCCCUGUUAUAAUUCCUUAUAGCACCAUGUGCUUCUUUAUAGCCCCCACCCCAGUUAUAAUUUUAUCUAUGUUUGUGUGAUUAAUUUUAAUUUCCUUUUUUAGGCCCUAACUCCAUGUAUGAAUGACCAUAUCUCUUUUUGCUCUAUAAAAUCCCCAACACUUGACAAAUAUAGUAGUCACAGAUCUUAUACAAGUAUGUUUGAAUAAAUGCACAAACCAUGUACAUAUCAUUGUAUACAUUUAAUACAUAAAAAGAGCCCUUCCCUGCUAGAUUCUAAUUUCUCUGAGGCAGGUUACCAACCUAAUUUAUUUCUGGAUCCCUCAUGAUGUUCUGUACUUCAUAGGAACCCAAUAAACAUUUACUGGAUAAAUUUUGCUUAUCAGUCUGUCUGUACCAUUUGAAACUCUGUAACAUCCAAGGCUUCUAAGUAGGCCUUGGAUUUAAUUAUAGAAUAAGAUGCCCACAGAAGAGUUUUCUAACCUAACAGGUAUAGAUUUGAAAGCCGUGGGGAGCAUGAAACCCAUGUCACAAAAGUGUAUCAGUCAAAACAAGUUAAGCUAUGUUGCUAUGAUAAACACAGCAGCUUAAAGAAAAGGUUUGUUUCUCACUCACACUACACAGACACUGCAGGCUGUUUGAGGUCAUUGUUCUACAUCAUCCUAACUCCAGGACCUAAGCUAACAGAGCAUUUCUGGUUGCAGAAGGAAAGUGGGGCAAAGGCAAAUAAUUCAAUAGCUCUCAGAGCUUUUACCUGGAUGUAAUGCUGUAUCACUUCUUCUCAUACUUCAUUGGCUAUGUCUACUUUCAAAGAAGUGAUAAAAUGCCCUGUUACUCCACAGGAGAGAGGUCAUGCCAAAACAUUUGCUGGAUGGCACUAAUGACCACCACCACAACAGACUGCAUAGGAGAAAACACUGAGAAAUUGAAAUGGGAGAAUUCCCUGACCCCCCCGUUGCUGGACGUGCGGCAGGGGUGUGGCUCAUCUGUUUAGUCACCACUGCUCCUCAAACCCCUUAUGGGAGGGGGAGCAUGCAGACAGGCAGGUUCAGGAGCCAGAGCCAAGCACCCCUGGGCUCUAGCCCCAGGGUAGCAUCCAGGGUUGAGAGCUUGCAACUCCCAAAGCCCAAAUGGGCUGUGUUACAGUACACUCUUUUAGCCUUGCCAUUCGUGGACAGCUUAUGUAUUAACCAGCUCAGUGGACUCUCUGCCUUUUCACAAUGGCAGACAGCCAGUGUUACAGCUUUCUGUACCCAAGCUCUCAUCCAGCAUCCUGGAAGAGUCAGGUCACAUACAGACUCAAAGGAUGAAUGCACGGGUAUUAUUGAGUGGUGGAAAUUGCUCUCAAUGGGACGAAUGGGGAGCUGGAAGGGGGGUGGAGUGUGAAGAUGAUCUUCCCCUGGAGUUUGGCCAUUCGGUGGCCAAUCUCCUCUCUGACCAUUCCCAGCCAAACUCUUCUCAGCAUUCAGAUGGCCCUUCUCUUCUCCCUCCCAUGCCGUUCUGCCACUUGUCUACUCUUCUCCUUAUCUGCUUCUGGAGCCUGCAGUCUGGGGUUUACAUGGGUACAGGAUAGGGGCUGUGGCGAGCCAAAAGGCAGCUUUGGGGCAUGAAAACAGGAAUGCCUGUCCCCAUUUAGGGCCACAAGUAUCCUGGCUUGAAGGUUCCCUUGCCAGGGAACCACCCUCUUGUACCCAGUGUUUCCCUAUCUCCUGUCCGUUCUAAAUGAUCCAUUUAGAAUCUGACCUACUGUCUGAAAAAAUACAUCUCCAAGGCAAUCUAUUGUUAUAAAAUCACUGAAAUCGCUAGUCUUUCCCUAGGCUUUUGAGCAGUUGCUUUAUGGGCCUCAGUGUCCUUAUCUGUAAAAUGGGAAUAAAAAUAGAAUUUCAGAGCUGCUUUGAGAAUUGUAAUGAUGGCCAGGUGCAGUGGCUCAUGAAACAUAAUGCUUCUAAGUAACAUAAUCUUCAUAUCCAAGUAUGGGCUUUAAAAAUGUAAGACAAAUUAGUUCCUCCAGAUAUAUUAAUAAGUGAGAGAAAACUAUUCACUCACCCUCUAAACUUGACAGUUUUAUUUUGCUGAUAUUGUUGAUUGUCUACCCGCUAAAAUGACUUGCUGCACACAACUAUCCACAUAACCCUGCAAUGCGAGUACUCAAGUAAUUUGAACAGAGCUAAAUGUACCACAUUCUAAGGCAAAAAAAAAAAAAA